rnacentral:rRNA from 1 species
GACGAACGCUGGCGGCGCGCCUAACACAUGCAAGUCGAACGGCACUGAGAUAAGCUUUCUUUUCUUCGCUUAGUGGCUGACGGGUGAGUAACGCGUGCGUCACCUUCCCUGGAUUGGUGGACAACAGUUUGAAACGACUUCUAAUACCGCCUCAUCCCACGAUCCGGCAUCGGCUUGAGAUCUACGGAUUUAUUCGCGUCAGGUUGGCCUCGCUACCAAUUAGUUAGUUGGUGAGUUAACGGCCCACCAAGGCGAGGAUUGGUAGCCGGCAUGAGAGGUAGAACGGCGACACUGGGACUGAGACACGGUGCAGACUACUACGGGAGGCAGCAGUGGGGGAUAUUGCAAAAUGGCGGAAACGAUGAAGGAGCGACGCUGGGUGGAGGAAGAAGGUGUGCGAAAAGUAAACUCCUGUAGUAAGGGACGAUAAUGACGGUACCUAAAAAGAAAGCACCGGCUAACUACGUG